GCCGUGGUAGCUCAGUUGGGAUGAGCAACAGACUGAAGUUAUGUAAUCACAUCGCUUACAUAACGCCGAUCUGGAGGUCCCCUGUUCGACCCAGGGUCAUGGCA